rnacentral:misc_RNA from 1 species
AAAGAGACAGGUGAAUCAUCGAAUCUUUGAACGCACAUUGCGCCUCUCGGUAUUCCGGGAGGCAUGCCUGUCUGAGCGUCAGUGAAUCCUCACUACUAUUCUUGAGUAGUGGUCUUGAGCCAUGCAGCGUCAGCUGCUAGCUUGAAAUAGAUAGGCGUUGGCGUCUGAUGCUCUAAUGUUGUAGGUUAUUCCAUCUCAUUAGGCUUCAGGCAUUUACUAAUGUCAACCAAAAACACUGUACUUUUGACCUCAGAUCAGGUAGGGAUACCCGCUGAACUUAAGCAUAUCAAUAAGCGGAGG